CGGGGUCUAAUACCGGAUACGACCUGCCGAGGCAUCUCGGUGGGUGGAAAGCUCCGGCGGUGCAGGAUGAGCCCAGCGGUCCUAUCAGCUUGUUGGUGGGGUAAUGGCCUACCAAGGUCUGUACAGUACGUGGUAGCCGGCCUGAGAGGGCGACCGGCCACACUGGGACUGAGACACGGCCCAGACUCCUACGGGAGGCAGCAGUGGGGAAUAUUGCACAAUGGGCGAAAGCCUGAUGCAGCGACGCCGCGUGAGGGAUGACGGCCUUCGGGUUGUAAACCUCUUUCAGCAGGGAAGAAGCGAAAGUGACGGUACCUGCAGAAGAAGCGCCGGCUAACUACGUGCCAGCAGCCGCGGUAAUACGUAGGGCGCAAGCGUUGUCCGGAAUUAUUGGGCGUAAAGAGCUCGUAUGCGGCUUGUCACGUCGGAUGUGAAAGCCCGGGGCUUAACCCCGGGUCUGCAUUCGAUACGGGCAGGCUA
rnacentral:rRNA from 2 species